rnacentral:rRNA from 1 species
GGAUGCGAUCAUACCAGCACUAAAGCACCGGAUCCCUUCAGAACUCCGAAGUUAAGCGUGCUUGGGCGAGAGUAGUACAAGGAUGGGUCACCUCCUGGGAAGUCAUCGUGUUGCAUUCC